rnacentral:rRNA from 1 species
AGUGAACGCUGGCGGUAGGCCUAACACAUGCAAGUCGAACGGCAGCACAGGAGAGCUUGCUCUCUGGGUGGCGAGUGGCGGACGGGUGAGGAAUACAUCGGAAUCUACUCUGUCGUGGGGGAUAACGUAGGGAAACUUACGCUAAUACCGCAUACGACCUACGGGUGAAAGCAGGGGACCUUCGGGCCUUGCGCGAUUGAAUGAGCCGAUGUCGGAUUAGCUAGUUGGCGGGGUAAAGGCCCACCAAAGCGACGAUCCGUAGCUGGUCUGUGAGGGUGAUCAGGCACACUGGAACUGAGAAGCGGUCCAGACUCCUACGGGAGGCAGCAGUGGGGAAUAUUGGACAAUGGGCGCAAGCCUGAUCCAGCCAUCCCGCGUGGGUGAAGAAGGCCUCCGGGUUGUAAAGCCCUUUUGUUGGGAAAGAAAUCCAGCUGGCUAAUACCCGGUUGGGAUGACGGUACCCAAAGAAUAAGCACCGGCUAACUUCGUGCCAGCCGCCGCGGUAA